rfam:Sus scrofa isolate TJ Tabasco breed Duroc chromosome 1, whole genome shotgun sequence.
UCCCUGGUGGCCUAGUGGUUAAGGGUUUGGCAUUGUCACUGCUACGGCUUGGGUUCAAUCCCCAAGCAGGGAU